AGACACCCUUCUGGGGCAAGACUUGCUUCAGUGGGGCUUUGGUGUUCACUGAGUCUGCCCCUUGAGUGUGUCCCU
rnacentral:pre_miRNA from 1 species